rnacentral:rRNA from 1 species
GUGGGGAAUCUUGCGCAAUGGGCGAAAGCCUGACGCAGCCAUGCCGCGUGAAUGAUGAAGGUCUUAGGAUUGUAAAAUUCUUUCACCGGGGACGAUAAUGACGGUACCCGGAGAAGAAGCCCCGGCUAACUUCGUGCCAGCAGCCGCGGUAAUACGAAGGGGGCUAGCGUUGCUCGGAAUUACUGGGCGUAAAGGGCGCGUAGGCGGACAGUUAAGUUGGGGGUGAAAGCCCGGGGCUCAACCUCGGAACUGCCUUCAAUACUGGCUGUCUUGAGUAUGAGAGAGGUGUGUGGAACUCCGAGUGUAGAGGUGAAAUUCGUAGAUAUUCGGAAGAACACCAGUGGCGAAGGCGACACACUGGCUCAUUACUGACGCUGAGGCGCGAAAGCGUGGGGAGCAAACAGGAUUAGAAACCCUGGUAGUCC